GGAUGCGUGCCUGAAAGUUAGGGAUCCCCUUGAUAGGGGGAGCCAUAGAGGUUCGAAUCCUCUCGCUUCCU
rnacentral:tRNA from 1 species